rnacentral:rRNA from 1 species
AGCAGCCGCGGUAAUUCCAGCUCCAAUAGCGUAUAUUAAAGUUGUUGCAGUUAAAAAGCUCGUAGUUGAAUUUCGGGAUUAGUAAGUUGGUCGUGCCUUCGGUAUGUACUGGCUUUACUGGUUCCUCCUUCUUGAAGAACUGUAAUGUUAUUAAUUUGGUGUUGCAGGGAAACAGGACUGUUACUUUGAAAAAAUUAGAGUGUUUAAAGUAGGCUAACGCUUGAAUACAUUAGCAUGGAAUAAUGAAAUAGGACGUUUGAUCCUAUUUUGUUGGUUUCUAGGAUUGACGUAAUGAUUAAUAGGGAUAGUUGGGGGCAUUAGUAUUCAAUUGUCAGAGGUGAAAUUCUUGGAUUUAUUGAAGACUAACUACUGCGAAAGCAUUUGCCAAGGAUGUUUUCAUUAAUCAAGAACGAAAGUUAGGGGAUCGAAGACGAUCAGAUACCGUCGUAGUCUUAACCAUAAACUAUGCCGACUAGGGAUCGGAUGAUGUUAAUUUUUAAUGUACUCAUUCGGCGCCUUA